rnacentral:rRNA from 1 species
UAGGGAAUUUUUCACAAUGAGCGAAAGCUUGAUGGAGCAAUGCCGCGUGAACGAUGAGGGUCUUUAAGAUUGUAAAGUUCUUUUAUUUGGGAAGAAUGACUUUAGCAGGUAAUGGCUAGAGUUUGACUGUACCAUUUUGAAUAAGUGACGACUAACUAUGUGCCAGCAGUCGCGGUAAUACAUAGGUCGCAAGCGUUAUCCGGAUUUAUUGGGCGUAAAGCAAGCGCAGGCGGAUUGAAAAGUCUGGUGUUAAAGGCAGCUGCUUAACAGUUGUAUGCAUUGGAAACUAUUAAUCUAGAGUGUGGUAGGGAGUUUUGGAAUUUCAUGUGGAGCGGUGAAAUGCGUAGAUAUAUGAAGGAACACCAGUGGCGAAGGCGAAAACUUAGGCCAUUACUGACGCUUAGGCUUGAAAGUGUGGGGAGCAAAUAGGAUUAGAUACCCUAGUAGUCCACACCGUAAACGAUAGAUACUAGCUGUCGGGGCGAUCCCCUCGGUAGUGAAGUUAACACAUUAAGUAUCUCGCCUGGGUAGUACAUUCGCAAGAAUGA